rnacentral:rRNA from 1 species
UACGUAGGGUGCAAGCGUUAAUCGGAAUUACUGGGCGUAAAGCGUGCGCAGGCGGUUAUGCAAGACAGAUGUGAAAUCCCCGGGCUCAACCUGGGAACUGCAUUUGUGACUGCAUAGCUAGAGUACGGUAGAGGGGGAUGGAAUUCCGCGUGUAGCAGUGAAAUGCGUAGAUAUGCGGAGGGACACCGAUGGCGAAGGCAAUCCCCUGGACCUGUACUGACGCUCAUGCACGAAAGCGUGGGGAGCAAACAGG